ensembl:antisense Gm14493 predicted gene 14493
UGAGUUUGGAGAGCACGGUGUGCAGCCCGCGCAGGUGGUAGUGGAACUGCUGCUCCAGAUCUUCCUCGCCCGCAUCCGCGCUCUCCAAGUGACUCAGGCCCACCAGGAUGUCCUUGGGCUUCCAGGUGCUCUCCUCGCUCCCGGCCGGCGGAGAAGAAGGCUGGUGCAGGACUCCCCACUCGAUAUCAUUGCGGAUGGACUUGAGCAGCACGUAGUGGCUGUACAUGUCCCGGGAGGGCGCGAAAAAGCUUUCAUUGGCGCUGCCCGGGCUUGGGGCCGGGGUCGUGCGCUCCUCCAGGCAGCCGCCACUGCCGCCUACCUCCACGCUGACCUCGUCUAUCUCCGGCUCGGACAGGGGUACGUCGCGCAGCAGACUGGGCACCAUCACCGUCUGGUCCAUGUUGUUCACCGCGCCAAUGAAGCGAUUCAUGGCGUUAAAGAGCGAGUGCUCGAUUUAUAGUCCGGGAAAGGUGUCCCAGGCGCCCAGGACCACCCCUGAUGUCUCCUCCUCCUACCUCCUCCAGCAGCACAGAUAAAAGGUCC